UAACGUGGAUUUGGACGAUAAUAGGUUUUUAGUUUGUGAUGUUUCAUGUGAUGAUCAUUUUUAUGUUCAUCGUCUUUGAAUUGACAUGAGGAUAUCUAUGGAAAAGUAACUAAUCUGAAAGUAAGCCAACAUAUCGUUUGUUCUUUGUGUGCUAACGAAAAGAUUUUCUUUUCGCAUCAUGAGGAAGUAUUACAUCAAUUAAAAAAUGUUAGGAAGUUGAUUACUUGUCAUGGAAAAGUAUACCAAUGGAAAUUGCUUGUAAUAGAAGUAAUUCUAAGGGUUUAGAGAAUAAAUUGGUUGAACGCAAAAUCUGGAGGAAGUACCUUUUUCCAUACACAGAAUAUGCCCAUCAAGAAUACUAGUCCAAAUUUGCUUUAAUGGUAGACAAUUAUUCAAUACAAAUUAACUUUUAAGUGACUUAAAUAUUAAACAGUUUAGAAUAUGGUAUAACAAUGUAAAAAAAUACUAUUUUCAGGAACGAUUAGGGCCCAAUAUAUUUGAAACUCAUGUUGGACGUAGUACUGAGUUGGGUAGAAUAUUAUUCUAUGUUAAGUGAGGGUCUAUUAUUGUACUGUAUUUUAAUAUAUACAUUAGAAUUGUUGGUUAUUUCAUAUUUGUUUUAUUUAUUAUUUUACUUACAAGUUAUAUAAAGUUAACACUAAAAUCUACUCUGUGGUUUACUGCAUGAUUAUAUUCACAUGAUUUCAAGUUUUUAAAUUAUAAAUAUUAUAACUGGCUUUAAAAAUUCCAUUAAACUGUUAAAAGUGUAAUU